GGCAGCGUGCCCUAGUGGGUAGAGCAUGGGCCUGGGAAUCUGAAGGAUCUGGGUUCUAAUCCCUGCUCUGCCA
rnacentral:tRNA from 1 species